UACGGAGGGGGCUAGCGUUGUUCGGAAUUACUGGGCGUAAAGCGCACGUAGGCGGCUUUGUAAGUUAGAGGUGAAAGCCCGGGGCUCAACUCCGGAAUUGCCUUUAAGACUGCAUCGCUAGAAUUGUGGAGAGGUAAGUGGAAUUCCCAGUGUAGUGGUGAAAUACGUAGAGAUUGGGAAGAACACCAGUGGCGAAGGCGGCUAUCUGGACGGUUUCUGACGCUAAGACGCGAAAGCGUGGGGAGCAAACAGG
rnacentral:rRNA from 1 species